UACCUGGUUGAUCCUGCCAGUAGUCAUAUGCUUGUCUCAAAGAUUAAGCCAUGCAUGUCUAAGUAUGAACCAAUUCAGACUGUGAAACUGUAGAUGGCUCAUUAAAUAAGUUAUAGUUUCUUUGAUGGUACCCUACUACUCAGAUAACCAUAGUAAUUCUAGAGCUAAUACAUGCACCAAGUCCCGACUCUUUGGAAGGGAUGCAUUUAUUAGAUAAAAGGAUGGCGCGGGCUUGCCCGCUUCUUUGGUGAAUCAUGAUAACUCGACAGAUCACACAACCAUUGUGUUGGCGAUGCUUCAUUCAAAUUUCUUCCCUAUCAACUUUUGAUGGUAGGAUAGAGACCUACCAUGGUGGUGAUGGGUGACGGAGAAUUAGGGUUUGAUUCCAGAGAGGGAGCCUAAGAAACGGCUACCACAUCCAAGGAAGGUAGCAGGCGCGCAAAUUACCCAAUCCUGACAUGGGGAGGUAGUGACAAUAAAUAACAAUACUGGGCUCAUUGAGUCUGGUA
rnacentral:ncRNA from 1 species